rnacentral:lncRNA from 1 species
GGAUUCUAGCUUUGUGGUUGAAAGAAAAAUCAGUGCUAUUGAUAAAAGAAUUUCAUGACAUUAAAAAAUGAGUUCAGAGUGACUCUCUGGAAUGUUGCCUUACUAUCAAUUUCACAUCUGACCUCCAAAAUAUUAGUACCAUGAAAAAGUUGAAGCCAACAGAAUGAGGAAAUAGUACUCAAACCUUUCAACUCUGCCUUUACAAAGACAAUGUAUCUGAAAAGAAAGACCUAUCACCAAGGAAACCUGAAAUCACCAAUCUUUCCAUUUCCCAGAAUGUACUUGCAAGCUGGUACCCACUUUUCAGGCAAGUUUCACUGCCAUUGAUUCGAGGGCAGGAGGAAGAAGAAUGGCCCA